AGUGGGGCUCGGUCCAUCGCCGCCGUGCAUCCCCCACCACCACCCCGCACGACCCCUCCAGGUGCUGGUUGCUCCCAGGUCCUCUUAAGAUCUCCCCGGCAGAAGCUGCCCUGGGUCUAGCCAGAAACACAGGCCGUCUCGGAGGUGACGUCUCCUCCCUCCCAGAGCUCAGGGCUUGUCGCUCAGGAGACCACCUCAAUGGCAAGAGCACCCGUGGCAAUUGCUGUUACUGCAGACACCACCACAGGACUCAGGAUCUCAUAGUUUAAGAAGACUUCCCGCCUCAGAGCAACCCGAGGAGAGCCUUGAGACUCGGGCAUCAGCAUGGACAAGAUUUAACUUCCCCGUGCUGGAAGCAAGGCUCAGUGACCCUCAACACACCCAUGCCCUCCACAAAUGGCCCAAGCUGGUGCCAAGCGCAAGGACUCAGAAGCAUUUCUCUUGGCCAUCCGCCAGGUGCCCUGCUCCUACCAUUUCCUUUGAAUAGACCAUCCAGACUCCCACUGUAGAUACGUAGUGCGGACAUGCCACCAUAAUCACAUCUCAGGCCUGAAAUGACCUCCCAGAACUCAGGCCUGCUUAUUUCAGCUCAAUAAAGGAAACCUGCACCCCAAGACCCAAUAAAGGCAUUGGCUCAGGGAUGUCCCAUCUCUCUCCC